rnacentral:rRNA from 1 species
UGAAUACGAGACGCUAAGGCGUCGAAGUAGUGUAUGUCAUACUUCCAAGAAAAGCUUGCACUGUCAUAGAUAAAAAACGCCUGUACCAUAACCGACACAGGUGGGUAGGUAGAGUAUACUAAGGGGCGCGAGAUAACUCUCUCUAAGGAACUCGGCAAAAUGACUCCGUAACUUCGGGAGAAGGAGUGCCUUAUUCUUAAGGUUGCAAUAACAAGAUCCAAGCAACUGUUUAUCAAAAACACAGGUCUCCGCUAAGUCGUAAGACGAUGUAUGGGGGCUGACGCCUGCCCAGUGCCAGAAGGUUAAAGAAGUUGGUUAGCAUUUGCGAAGCUGAUAACUGAAGCCCUGGUGAACGGCGGCCGUAACAAUAACGGUCCUAAGGUAGCGAAAUUCCUUGUCGGGUAAGUUCCGACCCGCACGAAAGGCGUAAUGAUUUGGAUACUGUCUCGGAGAGGGGCUCGGUGAAAUAGACUUGUCUGUGAAGAUGCGGACUACCUGCACCAGGACAGAAAGACCCUAUGAAGCUUUACUGUAACUUGAAAUUGAAAUUGGACUUUAUUCGCGCAGUAUAGGUGGGAGGCGUUGAUUAUAAUCUUGCGGGAUUAUUGGAGCCAUCAGUGAGAUACCACCCUUGUAAUGUUAGAUUUCUAACUUUGAAUCAUUAUCUGGUCAAAGAACAGUUUCAGGCGGGCAGUUUGACUGGGGCGGUCGCCUCCUAAACGGUAACGGAGGCGUACAAAGGUUUCCUCUGAACGGUUAGAAAUCGUAUCUAGAGUGUAAAGGCAUAAGGAAGCUUGACUGUGAGACCUACAAGUCGAGCAGGGACGAAAGUCGGUCUUAGUGAUCUGACGGUACUGAGUGGAAAGGCCGACACUCAACGGAUAAAAGUUACUCUAAGGAUAACAGGCUGAUCUCCCCCAAGAGUUCACAUCGACGGGGAGGUUUGGCACCUCGAUGUCGGCUCAUCGCAUCCUGGGGCGGUAGUACGUCCCAAGGGUUGGGCUGUUCGCCCAUGAAAGCGGUACGCGAGCUGGGUUCAGAACGUCGUGAGACAGUUCGGUCCAUAUCCGGUGUAGGCGUUAGAAUAUUGAGAGGAGCCUUCUUUAGUACGAGAGGACCGAGAAGGACAUACCUCUGGUGUACCAGUUAUCGUGCCAACGGUAAACGCUGGGUAGCUAUGUAUGGAGUGGAUAACCGCUGAAAGCAUCUAAGUGGGAAGCCCACCUCAAGAUAAGUAUUCU